rnacentral:tRNA from 1 species
GCAUUAGUAGCUCAGUUCUAGAGCGCUGGUCUUGUAAACCAGAUGUCGGAGGUUAAAGUCCCCCCUUUUGCU